rnacentral:rRNA from 1 species
AUACGGAGUUACAAAGGACGACAUUAGACGAAUCAUCUGGAAAGAUGAAUCAAAGAAGGUAAUAAUCCUGUAGUCGAAAAUGUUGUCUCUCUUGAGUGGAUCCUGAGUACGACGGAGCACGUGAAAUUCCGUCGGAAUCUGGGAGGACCAUCUCCUAAGGCUAAAUACUCUCUAGUGACCGAUAGUGAACCAGUACCGUGAGGGAAAGGUGAAAAGCACCCCGGAAGGGGAGUGAAAUAGAACCUGAAACCGUGUGCUUACAAGUAGUCAGAGCCCGUUAAUGGGUGAUGGCGUGCCUUUUGUAGAAUGAACCGGCGAGUUACGAUUUGAUGCAAGGUUAAGCAGUAAAUGUGGAGCCGUAGCGAAAGCGAGUCUGAAUAGGGCGUUUAGUAUUUGGUCGUAGACCCGAAACCAGGUGAUCUACCCUUGGUCAGGUUGAAGUUCAGGUAACACUGAAUGGAGGACCGAACCGACUUACGUUGAAAAGUGAGCGGAUGAACUGAGGGUAGCGGAGAAAUUCCAAUCGAACCUGGAGAUAGCUGGUUCUCUCCGAAAUAGCUUUAGGGCUAGCCUCAAGUGAUGAUUAUUGGAGGUAGAGCACUGUUUGGACGAGGGGCCCCUCUCGGGUUACCGAAUUCAGACAAACUCCGAAUGCCAAUUAAUUUAACUUGGGAGUCAGAACAUGGGUGAUAAGGUCCGUGUUCGAAAGGGAAACAGCCCAGACCACCAGCUAAGGUCCCAAAAUAUAUGUUAAGUGGAAAAGGAUGUGGCGUUGCCCAGACAACUAGGAUGUUGGCUUAGAAGCAGCCAUCAUUUAAAGAGUGCGUAAUAGCUCACUAGUCGAGUGACACUGCGCCGAAAAUGUACCGGGGCUAAACAUAUUACCGAAGCUGUGGAUUGUCCUUUGGACAAUGGUAGGAGAGCGUUCUAAGGGCGUUGAAGCAUGAUCGUAAGGACAUGUGGAGCGCUUAGAAGUGAGAAUGCCGGUGUGAGUAGCGAAAGACGGGUGAGAAUCCCGUCCACCGAUUGACUAAGGUUUCCAGAGGAAGGCUCGUCCGCUCUGGGUUAGUCGGGUCCUAAGCUGAGGCCGACAGGCGUAGGCGAUGGAUAACAGGUUGAUAUUCCUGUACCACCUAUAAUCGUUUUAAUCGAUGGGGGGACGCAGUAGGAUAGGCGAAGCGUGCGAUUGGAUUGCACGUCUAAGCAGUAAGGCUGAGUAUUAGGCAAAUCCGGUACUCGUUAAGGCUGAGC